GUAAAUAAUAAAGGGCGUAUGGUGGAUGCCUAGGCUCUCAGAGGCGAUGAAGGACGUGAUAAGCUGCGAAAAGCUCCGUUUAGGUGCAAAUAACCUUUGAUGCGGAGAUCUCCGAAUGGGAUAACCCAAUAUGUUGAAGACAUAUUAUACCGUAAGGUAGGCAAACGCAGGGAACUGAAACAUCUAAGUACCUGCAGGAGAAGAAAACAAACGUGAUUCCCCCAGUAGCGGCGAGCGACCGGGGAUAAGCCCAAACCGUUAUUGUUUCGGCAGUAGCGGGGUAGUAGGACUGCGACAUUGAUGAAAUAAAUGAAAUGGAACACCUUGGAAAAUGUGAUCACAGAGGGUGAUAAUCCCGUACAUGUAAGUUUAUGAAUCAUAGCAGAAUCCUGAGUAAGUCGGGACACGUGUAAUCCUGACCGAAUCCGCCGGGACCAUCCGGCAAGGCUAAAUACUCCUGAGAGACCGAUAGUGAACCAGUACCGUGAGGGAAAGGUGAAAAGCACUUCGAACAGAAGAGUGAAAUAGUCCCUGAACCCAUACGCCUACAAGCAGUCGGAGCCGCUUCGUGCGGUGACGGCGUGCCUUUUGCAUAAUGAGCCUACGAGUUACUCAUCACCAGCGAGGUUAAGUACUUCAGGUACGUAAGCCGAAGCGAAAGCGAGUCUGAAUAGGGCGUCAAGUUGGUGGUGGUAGACGCGAAACCUUAGUGAUCUACCCAUGGGCAGGGUGAAGGUUUGGUAACACAAACUGGAGGCCCGAACCGGUAAACGUUGAAAAGUUUUCGGAUGACCUGUGGGUAGGGGUGAAAGGCCAAUCAAACUGGGAAAUAGCUCGUACUCUCCGAAAUGCAUUUAGGUGCAGCCUCUGUUGUUUUGUUCUAGAGGUAGAGCUACUGAUUGGAUGCGAGGGCUUCACCGCCUAUCAAAUCCGGCCAAACUCCGAAUGCUAGAACAUGAAGACAGGGAGUGAGCCAGCGGGUGCUAAGGUCCGUUGACGAAAGAGGGAGAACUCAGACCAUCAGCUAAGGUCCCCAAUUAUAUGCUAAGUUGGAAUAAAAACGGGGUGGGACUGCUUAGACAGCUAGGAUGUUGGCUUGGAAGCAGCCAUUCAUUUAAAGAGUGCGUAACAGCUCACUAGUCGAGCGGUCCUGCAUGGAUAAUACGCGGGCAUAAGCAUAUAACCGAAGCUAUGGGAUUGUAGAUGAUACAAUCGGUAGGAGAGCAUUCCAUUCAGCAUAGAAGCAGUAUCGUGAGGUAUUGUGGAGCGGAUGGAAAAGCAAAUGUAGGCAUAAGUAACGAUAAUGCGGGUGAGAACCCCGCACGCCGAAAGAUCAAGGAUUCCCCGGCAAUGUCAAUCAUCCGGGGGUAAGUCGGAUCCUAAGGGUAAGCCGAGUGGCGAUCCCGAUGGUAAACAGGUUAAUAUUCCUGUACUGAUCAUAACUGCGAUGCAGCGACGCAGAGGUGACACUGCUGCGUACUGACGGAAUAGUACGUUGAAACCCGUAUUCUUUGAUACCGGUAGUGAAGCACGCCGGUAGAGAUGAAAGGUGAUAGUACCGCAAUGCUUCGGUUGCGCGGAUAAUGCAGGUAAGCUGACUGCCAAGAAAACCUGCUAAGCUUCAGGUAAUGAUCAUCCGUACUGUAAACGGACACACGUGAUCAGGUAGAAAAUACUAAGGCGCUCGAGAGAUUCAUGGUUAAGGAACUAGGCAAAAUGGUCCUGUAACUUCGGGAUAAAGGACGCUCUUGUGAAAGAGCCGCAGAUAAUAGGCCCAGGCGACUGUUUACCAAAAACACAUGGCUAUGCUAAUUCGCAAGAAGAUGUAUAUGGCCUGACACCUGCCCGGUGCCGGAAGGUUAAGAGGAGAGCUCAGAGGUAACUCGAAGGUUUGAAUUGAAGCCCCGGUAAACGGCGGCCGUAACUAUAACGGUCCUAAGGUAGCGAAAUUCCUUGUCGGGUAAGUUC
rnacentral:rRNA from 1 species